UGUUCAAAAAAACCGAUUAACCGAAAAAACCGAGAGAACCGAUAAAAAAUUAACCGAGAAAACCGAACCGAGAAAGAAAACCGAUUAAACCGAUUUUUCAAACCAUAAAAUCUUGCCGGUUCGGUUCGGUUCCGGUUUGACCACUUAAACCGGUGAACCGAACCGGUAGUAUAAAUAAAGAGUAAACCACUAAGCUGCCUAACCCUAAUUGACAUUCUGAAGCCGCCGCCCUUCAAUUUUCAUCCUUCCUCUUCUCCCUUCUGCAUCUAUCUUGCUUUUGCCCUCUGCCCCUGCAUCUUGACUCUUGCCCCUUUAAUUUUCAUCCUCCCUGCGUCUUGCUUUUGCCCCUUGGCUUCUCUCUUCACUUGCAGUAGAAAGAGAGGACUCUUCUAUUAGAGAAAAGGCGACAAGGUUUCGCCAUUGUUUGUGGUCCAUCUCAACUUUCAGGACCUACGUUGUUGUUGCCUUUGGCUUGCCCUGUCAAGUCCAUCAGCAACUACAUGGAUUAUAUUGAAAAUUUUGAGAUGAUUGAGUCAGAAUUUGAUGAAAGUUUAAAAAUCUCAACUGAUUGUUUAUAAGCAGUAUUGGUGGCUUGGUGCAAUUUUGGAAUAUAAUUGUUCUGGGUAAUUAAUUUACUUUACCUUGUUAAUUCCCCUUAACAUUUUGCAUACUUAAUUUAAUUCUUUCAAUAGUUGAACUCUAAUAUGUUGCUAAUUUGCUAGUUUUUUUUUUUAUAGCAUCAUCCUUACUGGAAUUUUUGGAUGCCCAUGCUGCUGUUGCUGGAAUUUUUGGAUGCUGGUGUUGCUGUGUUUUUUUCUUCAAACUAUGCUGGAUGUUUAUGAUAAUUUAUUGUUGAUUGCUAAUGUAUUCGCUUGUUAAUGUUAACUUUUCUAGUGCGAACAAACUUUUAAUUUGAAGUGUUCAAAUUUUAUCAUGCAUCUUGCAUAUUGAAAUUGAUUUAUUGCAUUGCAUGCAUAUUGAAAUUAAUUUAUUGCAUUGUAUCUGUCAGAUUGA